UGUUUGGUCUUCCCCCUGUGCGAGAACCUUAAAGGUUCCGUAUAGAACCCUAUUGUGGAGUUAAGAACUCUUAAUUAUCUAAGACCUACAACCUAUCAAAUCGAGCUAAAGCUGUCUUGUUCGAUCAUAUAUUCUUAGAAAAAAUGGCUGUUCAAGUGUUCUUUAAGGGUUUUUAGCCUACUAAAAGGGUUCUACUUGGAACCCUUUCUGUUAGAAAAUGUUAAAGUGUGUUGAAAUGUUAAAGGUUCCCAUGGAUGGACAACCAAAGAACCCGUAAGUAUACAACACAGCAGCUAAAACCAGCUCAGGUUUCUCAGGUGGUCACAUGUCUAACAUUCCUGAAAAAGUUUGUGUCCUAAGUUUGUGAACAGCUUCCUGUGGUGGAAAUGUACAGUCCAUGAAACGUUUCCUGAAAUGUUUACUGGGAUUCCUGAGUUCCUGAAAGGGUUCCUAGGGUUCCUGAAUCCCUGAAAAGUUUUGAGGGACUCCUGAGUUUCUAAAAAGGUUCGUAGGGUUCCCGAGUUCCUGAUAAGGUUUCUAUGAUUCCUGAGCUCAUGGGAAGGUUUCUAAGUUCUUUAAAACAUGUUAACAGUGGAAAAUGCUUUUGCUUUCCCCUUUUCUUCUUUCAGCACCCCUCUGUUCCCAGUAUCAUUCCUGUCCAGCGAAGUAUCUAGCUACCAUUUUGGUCUUAAAGCUGCCACUCUGACAUGCACCCGUGUGAAGGUUGAACACAUGCGAUGCUGAAGGAUUUGCUGAUGUACGUAAACAAAGGCCUGACAUGUCCCUGCUUUCACACAAAUCAAUUUUCCCUGUCACAACCGCUUAAGGAGCAGAGGCAUAACAAGUUCCUGCUCAAGACGUCUUGUAAUGCAAGAACAAGGGAAAAAUAUGACUGGAAUGAAAAUGUGUUUUCAACAUUUUGUGUUCUUCUUCUGUUGGUAGAGUACUCGAGUAUGGUUCAUCGCACUGAGUGCAGUAAUCAGCGUUGCCCAAACAUUUAGAGGGCAAUUAAGGGAACGCAAAGCACAGCUCUCUACCCAUAAAUGUUAUAAGAUCUCUCUAUAUCUUUGCCUCCCUAGUGAGUGUGUGGUAAUGUUCUCACCGUCUGGUCCUUCGCCCCCCCCCCCCCCC
ensembl:lncRNA